UUAUACAGCGAAACUGACGAAUGGCUCAUUAUAUAAGUUAUCGUUUAUUUGAUAGUACCUUACUACUUGGAUAACCGUGGUAAUUCUAGAGCUAAUACAUGCUGAAAAUCCCGACUUCGGAAGGGAUGUAUUUAUUAGAUUAAAAACCAAUGCCCUCUGGGCUCCUUGGUGAUUCAUAAUAACUUUUCGAAUCGCACGGCCUUGCGCCGGCGAUGGUUCAUUCAAAUUUCUUCCCUAUCAACUUUCGAUGUUUGGGUAUUGGCCAAACAUGGUUACAACGGGUAACGGAGGGUUAGGGCUCGACCCCGGAGAAGGAGCCUGAGAAACGGCUACUACAUCCAAGGAAGGCAGCAGGCGCGCAAAUUACCCAAUCCCGAUUCGGGGAGGUAGUGACAAUAAAUACUGAUACAGGGCUCUUUUGGGUCUUGUAAUUGGAAUGAGUACAAUUUAAAUCUCUUAACGAGGAACAAUUGGAGGGCAAGUCUGGUGCCAGCAGCCGCGGUAAUUCCAGCUCCAAUAGCGUAUAUUAAAGUUGUUGUGGUUAAAAAGCUCGUAGUUGAACCUUGGGCCUGGCUGGCCGGUCCGCCUCACCGCGUGUACUGGUCCGGCCGGGUCUUUCCCUCUGUGGAACCUCAUGCCCUUCACUGGGUGUGGCGGGGAAACAGGACUUUUACUUUGAAAAAAUUAGAGUGCUCCAGGCAGGCCUAUGCUCGAAUACAUUAGCAUGGAAUAAUAAAAUAGGACGUGUGGUUAUAUUUUGUUGGUUUCUAGGACCGCCGUAAUGAUUAAUAGGGACAGUCGGGGGCAUCAGUAUUCAAUUGUCAGAGGUGAAAUUCUUGGAUUUAUUGAAGACUAACUACUGCGAAAGCAUUUGCCAAGGAUGUUUUCAUUAAUCAGGAACGAAAGUUAGGGGAUAGAAGACGAUCAAAGGCCGUCG
rnacentral:rRNA from 1 species